rnacentral:rRNA from 1 species
GGUCAAGUUAUUAAGGGUGCAGGGCGGAUGCCUUGGCACUAGGAGCCGAUGAAGGACGCGAUAAGCUGCGAUAAGCUUCGGGGAGUUGCACGUAAACUUUGAUCCGAAGAUUUCCGAAUGAGGAAACUCACUUAGAGUAAUGUCUAAGUAUCAUUAAGUGAAUACAUAGCUUAAUGAGGGGAACUCAGGGAACUGAAACAUCUAAGUACCUGAAGGAAGAGAAAGAAAUUCGAUUCCGUAAGUAGCGGCGAGCGAACGCGGAAUAGCCCAAACCAAUAAAGUUUUCUUUAUUGGGGUUGCGGACAUAUCUUAAACGAAGAGGUAUCGUAAUUGAAGAGGUUUGGAAAGACCCACCACAGAAGGUAAUAGUCCUGUAUGUCAAACGA